GGCGAUCGCGCCCGGUGCUUGCGGGUCGGUUAGCCGUCGGUUAACCCACACCAACGCCUCCAACCGCAAAUCAUAUAAAUCAAAAAAAUCGCUCUAAAAUCCUGGAUCUUGAUUGUCGCGGUUAACCGAUCCGCGAGCACUACGCGCGCCUGACCGGCGCCGGCCGGGCGGCCGAGGAGUCGAUAUGCUUUUUGAGGACCGUUAAACGCCCCGAGUUGCGAAACUCACCGAUGACCAAUGCACAACUUUAUGGAAAGACUUUUGUACCAGUUGUUUGGUUUUCUAAUUAAGAAUUAUGGGUAUAUUUAUAAAGGACACAAAAGCAGACGACGGCAGACGCUGAUCGGGUCGGCUGUGGGCUCAAAUCAAAUGCCAAUUUUGCGGUGCGUCCGUGUGGCUUUGGGCCGUGUCCAAGGUCGCUGAUGACUUGCGGGCGCCGAUUGAAUGAACUGAUGGAAAAGGAACCGAGAAUCGGUAUCGGGAAUAAAAAAAAAGGUAUGACCAGCGUCCGGCAAGGGCUUUCUGUCGUCGGUAAGCACCAGCCCCGAACCCUGACGCUAUCGAGUUUUGAUUGCAGUGCUUAAAAAGGGGACAGCAGGGAGAGUCGUCGACGACACAUUGAGAGGCGCCUCCUUUUGGCGGUGAUUGUGUGGCAAGGUAAAUGGGGUCGCGCAGCCGAGAGGCAUAUCGCAGUCGAUGCCACCGAGGCACGGGAGAAAGCACAUAGCGAUAGCGCAUGCCAUCACCAAGCCCGUUGCCCUACGCCCACGGGUUCAAAUAAAAAAGACCGACAAAAAGG
rnacentral:lncRNA from 1 species